UUCAUAUUAAAAAAAUAUUUUACAAAUAAUUAUUCUUUAACUUAAAUUAUCAUUAAGUUAUAUAAAUAAUGUGUGAAUUAGGUAGAUCACACUGGUAGUUGGACCCCUGUCUCCCAGCUAUUUAGCCAAUUUGCCAAUCCACAAUCAAUGAGGCCUGCAAAAUUCAUUCUCCUGUUUUUUGUACAGCACUAUUGCCUUGAUACAAGUUUGUAUUGAAGUCUUUUAUUUCGCAAUCUCAACCAUUUGAAUUCAAAAUCAAUGUUUUAUUAUAUAAUAAUCACCCACCAAAAAUUAAUACUUGAAAAUAACUCCCUCUAAAUUCAAUAUUUUCAUGUAACAGCAUAUGCAGAUACAUAGACAACUGCAAUUUGUACAGUUGCAGCCUUGUUUGGCAGCGAGCAAAUUCCAGUAUUCAAAUAAUGAAAGAACAGUUCAGACAUCAAAUAUGAACCUAAAGGUUACAAAAAAUUUAUAUCAUUUUCCAUGCAUAAUUUUGCUGCAAAUCAAUCUAUUUGAACCUCACCGUCAAAAUCCACCAUCAGUUUGUUCAGUUUCUUGUUGCUUAUCCUCUGCUGAUGCACUCUUGUAUCUUCAAAACUGCUAGCCAAAAGGUAUCUAUUUCAGAAUUGCUAAUCCAGCUAAUACAACUAUAUGUGCAAGAACUUAAUGGUUUCUAACAAAAACAAGAAUUCAAACUAACCUUUUAGCAUGCGAAGAUUCGGAGGGUGGCAAUAAGAUGCGGGCAAGCUUAACAGCAUCUUCGUUGCAAUUGAUGACAUGGUUAAAGCAUAGGUACCUUCCAUAUGAUGCAACGUCUUCAAAAACACAAAUGUGCGCAUCAACAAUGAAGCUCAGAUCCACAGUGACGAACACCCCAUCUUCGUACAUCUCAGCUGCUCCUUUCAAAUAAGGAUUUGCAAUUGUUAGAUCAGGACUCGUGAUGAGUCCACCAUUGAUGCUGACCAUGUUGAUCCCUCGGUCCAUUGCUAGGGCCCAAGCUGUCUUCUCUGCUAGUGCCUUUGACAUUGCAUGCCAUAACUUGAACUUCCGGCAGAAAUUAACGUCACUCCAGUUCCUCUCAUCAAGAUCAUCAGACGUCUUAUUCCGAUCAUUACUCCAUAUAACAGCAGUAGCAGAGGAGGCGAAGACAACUUUGUGUAUGGUUUCCGUUUGGGCACAUGCUUCUAGGACAUUAUGUGCUGCCCUUACCUCUACAUCAGCCAUAAAUUCAUCAUAGUUAGGUUGAUCUGAUGGAGGUUCAAAGGAAUAGAACAAGCCACAACAUCCCUUUAGUGCAUCCAUUAUGCUGUGAUAAUCAAAGGGAUCAGAAUAGAAAACUCUCAAUUUAUUGCUAUUGCAAGAAGACAACUCUUCAAAGUAUUCCAAUUUGCCUGCAAAUCCAUGCAACCAAAACAGGACACAGACUAAAAUAAGUAAAAUACAUUAAAAAAAGAAAAAAAAAAUCUAGGGGGAAACAAUUUAGUACAUGAUGUACACUUCAAGAUAUAAAUAAAUGGAAGUGCAUGCAUGUAUUGUGAAUUGUUUAUUUUUCUAUAUCCUUGAAAGGAGAAUAAAUUAUGACAUUUCUUGGCAGUUCGAACAACCCUCAAAUUUUUUAUUAUUAGUUUCUUCCAUCGGUGGAAACUUUGCCAACUAACUCCACCAAUUAAAAAUUGAUGAGCCAAGGUCAUGGGAAACCGAUAGACGUCCUCGAAAACGCAUUUGUGAAAUUCUAAUGGCAAGAAUUGGGAAAAUUGAAGAUUUUACAGUGACCAUAUGUAUAUAUGAGCAAAAAAUUAGGGCAAAUAAAAGAAAAAUUGCAAAUGACAUAAACACAGAAGAGUAGAUUAAUCUUCAAGAAAUAAAAUCCAGGCGAAAGGAAGGAAGGGUAAAAGCAAACCAUGGUCUUGGACUGCAGCAUGGACAUUGUAUCCUCUAUGCAAAAGCCUGUGGACAAGGGUGGUGCCCAAACGCCCAGAAGCAUCCAUUACACAAACGGUAUUCGAUGAUUCAUUGAAAGAAGCAGCAGGAGCCAUUACAGCCAAAGAAAAGUUUCUUCGUAGGCAAGAACAAGAAACAAGAAACAAUAAGAAGCAACUACAGCUACAACCCUACAAAGGAAACGAAGAAGCUAAGGUGCUUAUCAAGAAAGACAGAUAGAUGCAGAAAUAUAUAAAGAGAUGGAGCGAGGAAGGGAGAAAGCAUUGAAGGGGAGUUUGGUUAGCAGAUGGUUGGGGAGGUGCCAAGCAUUUAAUUUCAAGAAAAAGGAAAGGAGUAAGAAGAGAAAGAGUGUGGCAUUAAAUUUUGAUGGGUUCUUGUAUCGUGAGAGGUUGGUAGUAAGCGUGGAUUAUUGGGCUG
rnacentral:misc_RNA from 1 species